rnacentral:rRNA from 1 species
GAUGAACGCUGGCGGCGUGCCUAAUACAUGCAAGUCGAGCGAACAGGCGAGGAGCUUGCUCCUCUGACGUUAGCGGCGGACGGGUGAGUAACACGUGGAUAACCUACCUAUAAGACUGGGAUAACUUCGGGAAACCGGAGCUAAUACCGGAUAAUAUAUUGAACCGCAUGGUUCAAUAGUGAAAGACGGUUUUGCUGUCACUUAUAGAUGGAUCCGCGCCGCAUUAGCUAGUUGGUAAGGUAACGGCUUACCAAGGCAACGAUGCGUAGCCGACCUGAGAGGGUGAUCGGCCACACUGGAACUGAGACACGGUCCAGACUCCUACGGGAGGCAGCAGUAGGGAAUAUUCCGCAAUGGGCGAAAGCCUGACGGAGCAACGCCGCGUGAGUGAUGAAGGUCUUCGGAUCGUAAAACUCUGUUAUUAGGGAAGAACAAAUGUGUAAGUAACUAUGCACGUCUUGACGGUACCUAAUCAGAAAGCCACGGCUAACUACGUG